CGGGGGGGCAAGCGUUGUUCGGAAUUACUGGGCGUAAAGGGCUCGUAGGCGGCCGUCUAAGUCAGACGUGAAAUCCCUCGGCUUAACCGGGGAACGGCGUCUGAAACUGGAAGGCUUGAGUUCGGGAGAGGGAUGCGGAAUUCCAGGUGUAGCGGUGAAAUGCGUAGAUAUCUGGAGGAACACCGGUGGCGAAGGCGGCAUCCUGGACCGAGACUGACGCUGAGGAGCGAAAGCCAGGGGAGCAAACGGGAUUAGAUACCCCGGUAGUCCUGGCCCUAAACGAUGAAUGCUUGGUGUGGCGGGUAUCGAUCCCUGCCGUGCCGAAGCUAACGCAUUAAGCAUUCCGCCUGGGGAGUACGGUCGCAAGGCUG
rnacentral:rRNA from 1 species